AUGGCGCGAAUAAAUUUUGGUGUUAUCACCUUGAUCCCCAAAGUAUUUGGGGCGAUGGACAUUCACCAAUUCAGACCUAUCACAGUUAUCAACGUUCUAGAGCGCAUCUUCUCUAAAGUUUGCGUGAUUAGACUCGCGCCAGUAGUUGAGAGGAUGAAUCACCCUCUUCAGACAACUUUCUUGAAAGGGAGACGAAUCCAUGAUGGGAUUUUGUCCCUUCACGAGAUUGUGCACGAGGUGCGAUCGCGUGGCCAGAAGGGUGUCUUUCUCAAGCUGGACUUCCAGAAAGCCUAUGAUUGGCUAGACUGGGACUUCCUGCGGCUAGUUAUGCAGCGUAGAGGCUUCGAGGACAGAUGGUGCAACUGGAUUAUGCAGUUGGUACAGUCUGGUAAGACUGCGAUUAACAUUAACAGCGAUGUGGGGCCGUUCUUCUCGUCCUCUGCGGGAGUGAAGCAAGGGGAUCCGAUAUCCCCCCCUUCUCUUCAAUAUCGCCGUGGACGCUCUGGCAGGCAUCCUAGACAAAGCUAG
rnacentral:rRNA from 1 species